rnacentral:rRNA from 1 species
GACGAACGCUGGCGGCGUGCUUAAUACAUGCAAGUCGAGCGAGCGGAACUAACAGAUUUACUUCGGUAAUGACGUUAGGAAAGCGAGCGGCGGAUGGGUGAGUAACACGUGGGGAACCUGCCCCAUAGUCUGGGAUACCACUUGGAAACAGGUGCUAAUACCGGAUAAGAAAGCAGAUCGCAUGAUCAGCUUUUAAAAGGCGGCGUAAGCUGUCGCUAUGGGAUGGCCCCGCGGUGCAUUAGCUAGUUGGUAAGGUAAAGGCUUACCAAGGCGAUGAUGCAUAGCCGAGUUGAGAGACUGAUCGGCCACAUUGGGACUGAGACACGGCCCAAACUCCUACGGGAGGCAGCAGUAGGGAAUCUUCCACAAUGGACGCAAGUCUGAUGGAGCAACGCCGCGUGAGUGAAGAAGGUUUUCGGAUCGUAAAGCUCUGUUGUUGGUGAAGAAGGAUAGAGGUAGUAACUGGCCUUUAUUUGACGGUAAUCAACCAGAAAGUCACGGCUAACUACGUGCCAGCAGCCGCGGUAAUACGUAGGUGGCAAGCGUUGUCCGGAUUUAUUGGGCGUAAAGCGAGCGCAGGCGGAAGAAUAAGUCUGAUGUGAAAGCCCUCGGCUUAACCGAGGAACUGCAUCGGAAACUGUUUUUCUUGAGUGCAGAAGAG